UACGGGGGGGGCAAGCGUUGUUCGGAAUUACUGGGCGUAAAGGGCUUGUAGGUGGCCAACUAAGUCAGACGUGAAAUCCCUCAGCUUAACUGGGGAACUGCGUCUGAUACUGGAUGGCUUGAGUUUGGGAGAGGGAUGCGGAAUUCCAGGUGUAGCGGUGAAAUGCGUAGAUAUCUGGAGGAACACCGGUGGCGAAGGCGGCGUCCUGGACCAACACUGACACUGAUGAGCGAAAGCCAGGGGAGCAAACGGG
rnacentral:rRNA from 1 species